UUCCUACGGGGGGCUGCAGUGGGGAAUAUUGCGCAAUGGGCGAAAGCCUGACGCAGCGACGCCGCGUGAGGGACGAAGGUCUUCGGAUUGUAAACCUCUUUCAGCAGGGACGAAGCGAAAGUGACUGUACCUGCAGAAGAAGCACCGGCUAACUACGUGCCAGCAGCCGCGGUAAUACGUAGGGUGCAAGCGUUGUCCGGAUUUAUUGGGCGUAAAGAGCUCGUAGGCGGUUUGUCGCGUCGGAUGUGAAAACCCGAUGGCUUAACCUUGGGCCUGCAUUCGAUACGGGCAAACUAGAGUGUGGUAGGGGAGACUGGAACUCCUGGUGUAGCGGUGGAAUGCGCAGAUAUCAGGAAGAACGCCGAUGGCGAAGGCAGGUCUCUGGGCCAUAACUGACGCUGAGGAGCGAAAGCGUGGGGAGCGAACAGGAUUAGAUACCCGGGUAGUCA
rnacentral:rRNA from 1 species